GAAAUGAAAAAAGAAAGAAAGAAAGAAAGUUGGUGCUAACUUCAGCUACAGCUUUCACAUCACUGGCCAGAACCGUGUUGUACGGCCACUCCUAACUGCAGGGAAGGGAAAUGCAGUUCUUCAGUGGACCCACUGCUGCGCUAAAAAAAUGAGAUAUUUGCUUUCUGUUGGAAAGAAAUGGAGCUGGAUCUUGGGAAGACAAUUACAGCAGGCAUGUACAAAUAAUGCACUCAGAAGUACGCUCUUUUGCCCAUGAAGAAUAUGGACUUUCUGCACUGGCAUGCAGAAUUCAAGUGGUCGGAGGCUCCACUGGUGUGUAAGUAUCUAUGUUUCCAAAGCACCCGGGCACUCUGUAGAGCACCAUCCUGCUCGCUUGGAGAGAGAACUGACCCUGCAUUCACCGCGCACACGAAGUACCUGCUGUGUCCCCACAGCCCCUCCACCUUAGUUAGCAUUGUUCCCACCUACAGAAGCGGCAACUGAACCAGGGCCUGUAAGUUUAAUUAAUUUGUUAGUACUUUAAUUAAUUUGCCCCAGAUUCCAUGGCUUAUACACGGCUCAUCAGAAUGAUAACCAUCCUGCCACCCCCAGCAGGGUGUCUGACCCUUAGUGAUGGCCACUCACGCCGUGGCUGGAUUGGGCUGCUUCCUGGGGUCACGGCCCAUUUCUCAGACUCUCAUGCCCGGAUGACAAGGCCACACUGCUCUCUGUUAGGCUCGGUGACACUGGCCACCAGCUAUUUUCAGAAGAACAAGGACAUCUGCGUUUAUACUGUGAUACAUGCUUCAAAAACAUUUUUGCCAGACCUAGCACACGUGGUAGUUACCUGCCGCGUCCUUCGGGGUAGGUAACCCCCACUGACUGGUGAGCAAAUCCUGCGUGUGGCCGAAGGGAUUUACUAGGCCGGGCGUGGUGUCACACACCUGUAAUCCCAGCACUCGGGAGGCUGAGGCAGGAGGAUCAUUGCGAGUU